GUCUCGUAGUGACCUGCGGAGGGAUCAUUACAGAGACUCUGCCCCUUGGGUAGACCUCCCACCCUGUGUCGUUAUACCUUCGUUGCUUUGGCGGGCCGCGGGGCCCCGGCCCCGCCCCUGGCUCCGGCUAGGGCGCGCCCGCCAGAGGACCUCAAAACCUGAAUGUUAGUGUCGUCUGAGUACUAUAUAAUAGUUAAAACUUUCAACAACGGAUCUCUUGGUUCUGGCAUCGAUGAAGAACGCAGCGAAAUGCGAUAAGUAAUGUGAAUUGCAGAAUUCAGUGAAUCAUCGAAUCUUUGAACGCACAUUGCGCCCCUUGGUAUUCCGGGGGGCAUGCCUGUUCGAGCGUCAUUACAACCCUCAAGCUCUGCUUGGUCUUGGGCGUCACCGGUCCCGGUGUGCCUUAAAAUCAGUGGCGGCGCCAUCUGGCUCUAAGCGUAGUACAUACUCUCGCUACAGACGUCCGGUGGAUGCUGGCCAGCAACCCCCAACUUAUCAAGGUUGACCUCGGAUCAGGUAGGGAUACCCGCUGAACUUAAGCAUAUCAAA
rnacentral:rRNA from 1 species